AGGACGGCGCUCCUAUUUUGUUGGUUUCUAGGAGAGCCGUAAUGAUUAAUAGGGACAGUUGGGGGCAUCCGUAUUCAGUUGUCAGAGGUGAAAUUCUUGGAUUUACUGAAGACGAACUACUGCGAAAGCAUUUGCCAAAGAUGUUUUCAUUAAUCAGUGAACGAAAGUUAGGGGAUCGAAGACGAUCAGAUACCGUCGUAGUCUUAACCAUAAACUAUGCCGACUAGGGAUCGGGCGAUGUUAUUGUAUUGACUCGCUCGGCACCUUUCGAGAAAUCAAAGUGUUUGGGUUCUGGGGGGAGUAUGGUCGCAAGGCUGAAACUUAAAGAAAUUGACGGAAGGGCACCACCAGGAGUGGAGCCUGCGGCUUAAUUUGACUCAACACGGGGAAACUCACCAGGUCCAGAUACACGUAGGAUUGACAGAUUGAGAGCUCUUUCUUGAUUGUGUAGUUGGUGGUGCAUGGCCGUUCUUAGUUGGUGGAGUGAUUUGUCUGCUUAAUUGCGAUAACGAACGAGACCUUCAUCGUUAACUAGCCCGGCUCGCCUUGGCGGNUCGCCGGCUUCUUAGCGAGACUUUUGGCUUCAGCCAAAGGAAGUUGGAGGCAAUAACAGGUCUGUGAUGCCCUUAGAUGUUNUGGGCUGCACGCGCGCUACACCUGANCAGAGGCAACGAGUUUCGUUCCCNUGGCCGGAAGGCCCUGGUAAUCCAUGUAANCUCNNUCGCC
rnacentral:rRNA from 1 species